rnacentral:tRNA from 1 species
GGUGCGAUAGCUUAAGUAAAGUUCCUUGCUGAAAAUGAGGGUGAUGGGUUUUCCUCGUACCA